rnacentral:rRNA from 1 species
GACGAACGCUGGCGGCGUGCUUAACACAUGCAAGUCGAACGAUGAAGCUGGAGCUUGCUCCGGUGGAUUAGUGGCGAACGGGUGAGUAACACGUGAGCAAUCUGCCCUUGACUCCGGGAUAACUGCGGGAAACUGUAGCUAAUACCGGAUAUGAGGCUCGAAGGCAUCUUCGGGUCUGGAAAGAAUUUCGGUCAAGGAUGAGCUCGCGGCCUAUCAGCUUGUUGGUGAGGUAAUGGCUCACCAAGGCGACGACGGGUAGCCGGCCUGAGAGGGUGACCGGCCACACUGGGACUGAGACACGGCCCAGACUCCUACGGGAGGCAGCAGUGGGGAAUAUUGCACAAUGGGCGAAAGCCUGAUGCAGCAACGCCGCGUGAGGGAUGAAGGCCUUCGGGUUGUAAACCUCUUUUAGCAGGGAAGAAGCGAAAGUGACGGUACCUGCAGAAAAAGCACCGGCUAACUACGCGCCAGCCGCCGCCGUAA